rnacentral:rRNA from 1 species
CUACUCUUGACAUCCAGAGAACUUAGCAGAGAUGCUUUGGUGCCUUCGGGAACUCUGAGACAGGUGCUGCAUGGCUGUCGUCAGCUCGUGUUGUGAAAUGUUGGGUUAAGUCCCGCAACGAGCGCAACCCUUAUCCUUUGUUGCCAGCGGUCCGGCCGGGAACUCAAAGGAGACUGCCAGUGAUAAACUGGAGGAAGGUGGGGAUGACGUCAAGUCAUCAUGGCCCUUACGAGUAGGGCUACACACGUGCUACAAUGGCGCAUACAAAGAGAAGCGAACUCGCGAGAGCAAGCGGACCUCAUAAAGUGCGUCGUAGUCCGGAUUGGAGUCUGCAACUCGACUCCAUGAAGUCGGAAUCGCUAGUAAUCGUAGAUCAGAAAGCUACGGUGAAUA